UUGUAUUUUUAGUAGAGAUGGAGUUUCACCAUGUUGGUCAGGCUGGUCUUGAACUCCUGAUCUCGUGAUCUGCCUGCCUCGGCCUCCCAAAGUGCUGGGAUUACAGGCAUGAGCCACCGUGCCUGGCCCCCACAUUGAUUUUUUAAGUGAGAGUAGAUUCGUAAGUUAGCAAGCAGCCUGAGUAAUAGAGGUGUUCAGAAAAACAUUUCAAUUUCUUAUUCCAAAGCUGCAAUAUACAAGCUAUUAAAUUUCUCCUUGUUGGAGAGUGUCUUAUAAUAUAGUAGUCUCUAUUUCUGAUUCUCCAAAGGAAUGGCUCUAAAUAAAUGUUCAUAUCUUUGUAUAGAUAUUGAUUUCUAUAUUAUCUAUCUGCAGGGUGUUCCUGAAAAUGAAAGGAGAACUACCAAAGCAGAGAGUGCUUGGCUUUUCCGGAUGUGGUACAACUUUGAUCAUAACUAUCUGAAGCCUCUGCUGACUCACAGCGGGCCUCCGCUGACAACAACACUCCCUGCCUGCUGUGGACCCAUCGCCAGGUGCCUCACCAGCCCCCAGGCUUACGAAAACCAGGAACAGUUGAAAG
rnacentral:sRNA from 1 species